CUGUGUUUUACUCGUAAAAUGCGGCAUGUAAGGAAAACUCCUAACAGAGCUCCUAUAGCUAUACGAAACAUCCUCAAAUAGACGGGAAAGAAAUCUCGGAAGGCCAACACCACACAAAGCACGGUAUAAGAGGAUACCUCUUUUCGAAGACAAAUUUACGCGACCCCUUGGUCCUAACUCCUCGAUCGCAAAUCAAAUCCAAACAUGAACAUCAAUUCUGGCUGCGAACAUCCGUAGUCAAACCAGAAUGUUUCCCAAACGCUGGGCUAAGACUAAUCCCUUGCAACAUCGCGAAACAUCUUCAAG
rnacentral:lncRNA from 1 species